GUGGAAUAUUGCUGCAGCCUGAAAAUCACCAACCGGGGGGGUGUUAUCCCACAAAAGAGAUUAGCUGGUGUCCAAAGGACCCCAAAUGUGUGUAUCUGCAGUGACACUUGAUGGGAGUUAUUUCUCCAACCCUUGAAACAGGAUUCGGAAAUGAAAGCGUCAUUGCAAGAGAAAGACCAAAGUCAGCCCUUCAUCGUAUUUAAGAAUGCAUUUUGAAAUGUCCAGGGAGGGGUUAGACAACUGUCAUUUACGAUAUCUGUCAGAAGCCUUAGAACACCUCAGUUUUUCCAGUUUUCUUCAAAUAGAAUCAGUUGAAAUGCAAUGAAUGUCCUAAGAAGGUGAAAAGAAUCAAUGUUCAAUGUUUUAAAGAUAAGGAGAUAUACUGACUCAGCUUUGAACAUUAACAUAUACAGUAACUGCACUGUGUGCUCUUUUCUCUAAGGAGAGUGUUUAUGACAGCA